rnacentral:rRNA from 1 species
CAUGCAGUCGAACGAUGAACCAUUCGGGGUGGAUUAGUGGCUAACGGGUGAGUAACACGUGGGCAAUCUGCCCUUCACUCUGGGACAAGCCCUGSAAACGGGGUCUAAUACCGGAUACUACCUGCCGAGGCAUCUCGGCGGGUGGAAAGCUCCGGCGGUGAAGGAUGAGCCCGCGGCCUAUCAGCUUGUUGGUGGGGUAAUGGCCUACCAAGGCGACGACAGGUAGCCGGCCUGAGAGGGCGACCGGCCACACUGGGACUGAGACACGGCCCAGACUCCUACGGGAGGCAGCAGUGGGGAAUAUUGCACAAUGGGCGCAAGCCUGAUGCAGCGACGCCGCGUGAGGGAUGACGGCSUUCGGGUUGUAAACCUCUUUCAGCAGGGAAGAAGCGCAAGUGACGGUACCUGCCCAAGAAGCGCCGGCUAACUACGUGCCAGCAGCCGCGGUAAUACGUACGGCGCAAGCGUUGUCCGGAAUUAUUGGGCGUAAAGAGCUCAUAGGCGGCUUGUCACGUCGGGUGUGAAAGCCCGGGGCUUAACCCCGGGUCUGCGUCCGAUACGGGCAGGCUAUAGUGUGGUAGGGGACAUCGGAAUUCCUGGUGUAGCGGUGAAAUGCGCAGAUAUCAGGAGGAACACCGGUC